AAAUAAUAAAAAGUGGAGUAAAAACGAUAAUUAAUAUGAAUUUAACUUAAUAUGAUUGUGAAGUUAAAUACCGUUUACGCGACUUAAAAAAAUUUCUCUCCUCAAAAGAAUGAUUCUCAACCAUCUCCUUUCUCAAAAAAUUUUAAAUUCCUAAACACCUUUCCUCAAAAUGAUUUUUAAACAACCAAAAUUCAAAACACCAAAAAAAAAUCAUUUAAACAUGUAAUGCAACGAAUAAAAAUAU
rnacentral:lncRNA from 1 species